UGGGGAAUAUUGGACAAUGGGCGCAAGCCUGAUCCAGCCAUGCCGCGUGAGUGAUGAAGGCCUUAGGGUUGUAAAGCUCUUUCACCGAUGAAGAUAAUGACGGUAGUCGGAGAAGAAGCCCCGGCUAACUUCGUGCCAGCAGCCGCGGUAAUACGAAGGGGGCUAGCGUUGUUCGGAAUUACUGGGCGUAAAGCGCAUGUAGGCGGAUAUUUAAGUCAGGGGUGAAAUCCCAGAGCUCAACUCUGGAACUGCCUUUGAUACUGGGUAUCUUGAGUAUGGAAGAGGUAAGUGGAAUUCCGAGUGUAGAGGUGAAAUUCGUAGAUAUUCGGAGGAACACCAGUGGCGAAGGCGGCUUACUGGUCCAUUACUGACGCUGAGGUGCGAAAGCGUGGGGAGCAAACA
rnacentral:rRNA from 1 species